UUAGUGAGGGGAACCCGGGGAACUGAAACAUCUAAGUACCCGGAGGAAAAGAAAGAAAUUCGAUUCCGUAAGUAGCGGCGAGCGAACGCGGAAUAGCCCAAACCAGUGAAGUUUUCUUCGCUGGGGUUGCGGACACAUCAUCAACAAAGAGGUAUCGUAAACGAAGAGAGUUGGAAAGCUCCGCUAUAAAGUGUAAUAGCCACGUAGUUGAAACGAGAAGACUUUAGAUGUGAUCCAGAGUACCACGGGACACGUGAAACCCUGUGGGAAGCAGGAGGGACCAUCCUCCAAGGCUAAAUACUACUUAGUGACCGAUAGCGCAUAGUACCGUGAGGGAAAGGUGAAAAGAACCCCGGGAGGGGAGUGAAAUAGAACCUGAAACCCUGCGCUUACAAGCUGUGGAAGCACUUUAUAUGUGUGACCGCGUACUUUUUGUAGAACGGGCCAACGAGUUACGAUAGUAAGCUAGGUUAAGUACUUAAGGUAUGGAGCCGUAGUGAAAGCGAGUCUUAAAUGGGCGUUAAGUUUGCUGUCGUAGACCCGAAACCGAGCGACCUAUCCAUGAGCAGGAUGAAGCGAAAGUAAAAUUUCGUGGAGGUCCGAACCCACGAGCGUUGAAAAGCUCGGGGAUGACUUGUGGAUAGCGGUGAAAUUCCAAUCGAGCUCGGAGAUAGCUGGUUCUCCCCGAAAUAGCUUUAGGGCUAGCCUCAAGGUUGAGAAAUACGGAGGUAGAGCACUGAAUAUCCUAGGGGGCAUUGCGCUUACCGAAGAUUAUCAAACUCCGAAUGCCGUUAUUUUAUACUUGGGAGUCAGACUGUGGGUAAUAAGAUUCAUAGUCGAGAGGGCAACAGCCCAGAUCGUCAGCUAAGGUCCCUAAAUGUAAGUUAAGUGGUAAA
rnacentral:rRNA from 1 species